UACGAAGGGGGCUAGCGUUGUUCGGAAUUACUGGGCGUAAAGGGCGCGUAGGCGGUACUUCAAGUCAGGCGUGAAAGCCCCGGGCUCAACCUGGGAACCGCGCUUGAGACUGGAGAACUAGAGUUCGGGAGAGGAUGGUGGAAUUCCCAGUGUAGAGGUGAAAUGCGUAGAUAUUGGGAGGAACACCAGUGGCGAAGGCGGCUCACUGGACUGGUACUGACGCUGAGGCGCGAAAGCGUGGGGAGCAAACAGG
rnacentral:rRNA from 1 species